UUGAAAGCAACAUGCUUAUUAUCAUCAAUGCAAACCAUGAUCAAGAAGUAAUCCAUAAAUUAAACUACAUAUGCAGAAUCUUACUGGUGCAAUGUUUUUUCCAGGAGCUUUGAAGACGUUUUAACCUCAGCCAUCAGAAGACAUUCCCCAUUUUUCUUCUCACACAUUAUUGCGCACAGAAAUCAGCGAGGAGGAGCGUCUGUCCCUCCGCUUGCGUCCAAUGGAACAAAGAGCAGCGUUAUCAAUGUGCACGCGUUCAGCCAAUAGGAGCGCUCCUCUUCUGGUGACGCGCAGCGCCGGCUCUGGUCUCUUCGCACUGCGCAGGAAGCGACACGCGCAAAAGAAUCAGAAGUUAAACGCAAAGGUAUCGCGGCUCACGCAACAGCAAGCAGCAGCUUUUACUGUAACCGCUCGGAGUUUCCCCGCGAAUGCAAGAGGAACCCGACGUCUCGAGCAGAAUGAAUGGUUAUCAAGGCACCGGAAACAGCGCUAGAGCGAAGGAAGCUGUUAAAAGAUGCUGUGUUGGGAGUCUUUUAACCUAGCCUGGUUCUUCUGGCGACUUGGCAGAGCUCAACCACGGAAGUCAGACCACUAUGGGCCGAAGCUGACCGAUAAAGGUCCAGACAUGAAGGAGACAGCGUCUUGUCUGUGGCAUCUCACAAUGAGAAGAGCUUUCAGCGUGUCGCGAGUUUCCAAAGUUGGUUCAGCAGAUACACUGGAUUAGGUGGGAAGCCAAAUCACUCCUGGCGACUGACCCUGUCCUGCACCACUGUAAAGGGCAGAUGUGCUGUCUAAGAUGUGGAUACUGAAUUUAAUCAUUUUUUACAGCAAGACUGUGUUUGCUUUAUAUUCAUGCUAGCAAGACUGUGUUAGUUAAAAGCCAUCACCAAUGAUAACUUGUGUUAACUCUAUUUUUAAUUACUUGUAUUUUCAUUUAGCAACAACUUCUGUAUUGUGUUUUCAAGUGAAAAAGAAUACUGAACUUGAAAAAAUGUUGGGCGGGGCUUGAUUUAAUAGUGAAGAAGUGAUCAAAUAUUAUUGGUUCAUAUUUUU
ensembl:lncRNA